rnacentral:tRNA from 1 species
GUGGGUGUAGCUCAGCUGGUUAGAGCGCUGGAUUGUGGAUCCGGAGGUCGCGGGUUCGAAACCCGUCACUCACCCCA